rnacentral:rRNA from 1 species
GUCUACAGCCAUGCGACCCUGAACAAACCUGAUGUCGGAUCUUGGAAGCUAAGCAGGGUCAGGCCUGGUUAGUACUUGGAUAGGAGACCACCUAGGAAGACCAGGUGCUGUAGGCA